UACGUAGGGUGCAAGCGUUGUCCGGAAUUAUUGGGCGUAAAGAGCUCGUAGGCGGCCAACUAAGUCGGACGUGAAAUCCCUCGGCUUAACCGGGGAACUGCGUCCGAUACUGGAUGGCUAGAGUUCGGGAGAGGGAUGCGGAAUUCCAGGUGUAGCGGUGAAAUGCGUAGAUAUCUGGAGGAACACCGGUGGCGAAGGCGGCAUCCUGGACCGACACUGACGCUGAGGAGCGAAAGCCAGGGGAGCAAACGGG
rnacentral:rRNA from 1 species